GCAGCCUGCUCUAGGAAUGGCCCUGGAGAACACUAAAGCAGUACAAAACAGCAAAUACUGUGAGCCCACUUCCAUGAAGUUCUGAGAAGAACCAGUGCUGGGUCGUGUUACAUCUACCCAUGAUAGAUACAUCUGCUCAUUUUGAGGAUCCAGUCAAGAGGAGUUAUGUGACAUGAGUGACCAGCCCUUCUCCAGGACUGUUCACAACUGUUCGGGACUCAAAGACAAAGAAAGAGAAAAAGGGAUGUUGUUUUGGAAACAAAAGCCCUAGUGUUUGGCUGGAGAAAUCAACUUUCCAUUGUCAGCAACUUGAGACCGGCCUGGAGCAGCUGUCAGCAGAGAGUGGCUGUGAACAUGUCUGCAGACAAGGUGGGCCAGCACAAUCCUUGGGGGAACGGGGUUUGGAAAUUGUGCAAAGUCCCAAACCUAGCCCCAGCCUUGGACUGUAUAGAUCUGGGUGGGCCCAGGAACCCAAUUCUAAGAAUCAACCCCCAGUGGGAACCACUUGGUAAAAAUCAUAGUUGGGAAAACUGAGGCUAAGCAGGAGAAGGGGACCUGAUGGGUCUCGUUAACCAAACAGCGGGACAGCUGGGACUAGCUGGUCCCCUUCCUGUUUUCUUCUCUCCUUUCCCUCUGCCUCCUUCCUAGGGCGGGCUGCUCCUGCCAUCAGCUGUGACUCAGAGUUCUGAGUCAUCAUGUGGCACUACAGAAGGAUCUUCUUAAGAAAAACAAUCCCUUACACAAAACUCCCCUGUUCUUAGGAACAGGAUAGGCCCCAAGGGCUGGGAGGAGGAGAGAGAAGAGUUGGGGCAGCGUGGGAAGCCAGGACUGCCCAGACCUGACUUGAGCAGAGCCCUACACAAGGAGCCUCAGUUCCUCACCUGCAAACAAGACUUCUACUGCACACAGAUACUCAGCAUGCAGUGGGCACCAUGACAAGAACUCUGUGUGUGUGUGUGUGUGUGUGUGUGUGUGUGUGUGUGUGUGCAUGUAGAGGCUAGAGAUCUUAAUUUGUGGGGAGGGGGCAUGUUUUCUCCUUGAACUGGGAGCUCACAUAUUGACUCUAACAGUCUAAGCCAGCAAGUCCUAGGGGAUCAUCUCUCUGCUUUCCCUUCCCACCUCCCCUCUCCUCCCCUCCCCUCCCCUCGACUCUGGUUAUAGAGAUGCCAGGGAGCCAACAGGUGUGUGGGGCCAGCACUUUACCUUCCGAGCCAUCUCCUCAGCUCCGUGAUAUGAGCCUCAUAAGCACCAUUUUUCUGAAUCUUCACUAAAACUUACGGGUGCCAUCACCCAGCUUCGUAGAUAAGGAACCAGGCUCAGAGAACUUCAGCUGAAGACCCCACAGUUGGGAACCUCGAAGCAGAGUUUAAACCCAGGGCUACUUGAUUUUUGAAGCCUGUUACUCUGUGUGUGUCUCUCUCCGUGUCUCCCUUCGUCUCUCUCUUUCUCUCUCU